rnacentral:rRNA from 1 species
GACGUAGGGUGCAAGCGUUGUCCGGAAUUAUUGGGCGUAAAGAGCUCGUAGGCGGUUUGUCGCGUCUGCUGUGAAAACUCAGGGCUUAACCCUGAGCCUGCAGUGGGUACGGGCAGACUAGAGUGUGGUAGGGGAGAUCGGAAUUCCUGGUGUAGCGGUGGAAUGCGCAGAUAUCAGGAGGAACACCGGUGGCGAAGGCGGAUCUCUGGGCCAUAACUGACGCUGAGGAGCGAAAGCAUGGGGAGCGAACAGG